rnacentral:lncRNA from 1 species
UCCGACCUCUGCAAUCCAGGGUCGAUCUCCCCAGAAGCUUGGAGGGGCUCUAGGUCUGCACCAACAGGGCUGUGAGCCUAUAAAAGAAAAAGUUAAAACCGAACAAACAAGCAGUCAGACUGAAACACAGCCCGUAUAAGGCUCGACAAGAAAGCAAGAAAUCAAGUCUGACUUUACAAAAGAGCUCGGGGCAUCAAAUGUGUGGAAGGCGAAAUUUCGAACUCCUGAGCCCGUAGCACAGGCAACAUCACAAGUUAUAGGCGUAAAUGCCUAAGCAAAGAACAAAAAUCCGAGCUCCUUAAUCCGCAGUAUGAACGGACUCACAAUAAGUUAACA